rnacentral:rRNA from 1 species
GACGAACGCUGGCGGCGUGCUUAACACAUGCAAGUCGAACGGAAAGGCCCUGCUUUUGUGGGGUGCUCGAGUGGCGAACGGGUGAGUAACACGUGAGUAACCUGCCCUUGACUUUGGGAUAACUUCAGGAAACUGGGGCUAAUACCGGAUAGGAGCUCCUGCUGCAUGGUGGGGGUUGGAAAGUUACGGCGGUUGGGGAUGGACUCGCGGCUUAUCAGCUUGUUGGUGGGGUAGUGGCUUACCAAGGCUUUGACGGGUAGCCGGCCUGAGAGGGUGACCGGCCACAUUGGGACUGAGAUACGGCCCAGACUCCUACGGGAGGCAGCAGUGGGGAAUAUUGCACAAUGGGCGGAAGCCUGAUGCAGCAACGCCGCGUGCGGGAUGACGGCCUUCGGGUUGUAAGCCGCUUUCGCCUGUGACGAAGCGUGAGUGACGGUAAUGGGUAAAGAAGCACCGGCUAACUACGUG